rnacentral:misc_RNA from 1 species
GAUAGCAAGAUGGAAAGGUAAUUGUGAAUGGAACAUGAUCAGGAAACUUUCAUUGUUAGGAUUUGGAUGAUACGGAAUAUGGGAUAUUGUGCCAUUUACUGCAGCUCUUACCAAAUAUCAGUUAUAACCCUGCAACUAAUUGACAUUUUGUCAAAUCGGAUUGAUUGUUGGAACAUUGUCAUUGUUACUUAGCGUACUUUCAUGGCUACGAUAUGUUGAUUGCUACAACUAUGUGCUCUUCACAAUUGAAAAAACCCAAAUAGACUCAAUAAUGUAAUACAGCAAAUUCCCUUUGUCACAUUGAAACAUCUUAGGUGUAAAGUCUAUUGGCCCAAAGGACGCUAAGUUUUAUUUGCUUAUAUUUGUCAUUUUUAACAUUGAGUGGAGAUGAAUCUCUACUCAAAUAAACAACCAUAUAACUGGGGCAAGAAUUGCAUUGGACUGUGAAACCUUGAAAUAGUCUCAUUGUCUGGUCACAUAUUACAGCUAGAGUCUUCUGUCCCAAAAUUGGCAUUGAAUUUAAAUCUAAAGCAGACUCUUGGAGAAAUUUAACUUGUUUUGUUAAUAUACAGGCACACAAGUGUCUCAUUGGAG